rnacentral:lncRNA from 1 species
UACCAAUAAUACAUCAUUUUACCACUCCUAUAUUAAUUUACUUAUUUUACAUUCUAUUUACAUAUUUCAUAUCUUAUUUAUUCAAUUUAUGUUUUAUUUUACACUUAAUAUUGAUUUACAAGUUUUUAUAUUAUAUUGAUAAUUUUUUGUUUUAUUUACCAAUAAUAUAUUAAGUUACAACUAUUUUGUCUUUCAUUUAUAAGUCUUACGUUUCAUUUGCAUCAUUUAUGUUUUAGUUUACACUCAAUGUUGAUUUACAAGUUUUAUAUUAAGUUUAUAAGUUUUUGUUUUAUUUACCAAUAAUAUGUCAAUUUACCAAUUUUAUGUUGAUUCACUUGUUUUACAUUUUAUUUACAAGUCUUGUGUUUUAUUUACUUAAUUUAUAUUUUAUUUUACACUUGAUGUUAAUUUAGAAGUUUUAUGUUACAUCUAUAGGUUUUUGUUUUGUUUACCAAUAAUAGACCAAUUUUACCACUCCCAUGUUAAUUUACUUUUUUAUCUUUUAUUCACAAGCCUUAUAUUCUAUUUACAUAAUUUAUGCUUUGUUUUACACCUAAUAUUGAUUUAAAAGCUUUAUGUUACAUUUAUAUAUCUUAUGUUUCAUUUAUACAAUUUAUAUUUAAUUACGGUAUGAAUAUCGUGGUUUUAAUUACGGCAUUAUAAAAUCACCCAAUAACUAAUCUUUGUAAAGCAGUGCAAAAACAAAAGCUUAAACGAAAACUUCACUUUUUUUUUUUUUUUUGGUAUUUGUAUACUUUUUCCAGUUUUUUGUAGGUAAUAGAUGAAUAGAUACUAGGCAAUGAAUACAGCAAGUUUUGUAUAUGUAUUUUGUAUCUUAAACAUUAAUGACAAACUUCUCGGACUCUGACGCCCUCUGCAUUUUGUCUUUGUUCUCUUGGCCGCCAAAUACUCAUAAAAUUCAUCGAGAUCUCAAAUAUUUACAACGUUAACAACGUACUCAAUCUUCAGUCUUCAGUCUCAAAUACUUGAGUAACAGCAGGAUUCACUUGGCAAUGUACCUGAAUAAUUAUCCAAGACAAUUCAUUUUUUGGACACCUGCCAAGAUAUGUGAGGGGCCUUUACGUUCCAUUUUGAAUUUGUAGUUUUUUGGCCCUUUGUUCUAUUAUUAGAACAUUAAUGGGUUUGAUUUGUUCUCCUAAUCGAUUUGAAAGCCCUGUACGGCUAUAUUCUCUCAAUGGAACCCCAAUGGGCUUGAUUUGUUAUCUCAUAUUUUUUUGAAUUGAGCCCCUAACACCAUUUUACAAUAAUAUACAUAAUUUAUUUUACAUAAAUGAACAAAAUAAUAUACAAUAGAGUUACUUAAAUUUUUAAUAUACUUUUUAUAAUAAAUUUAAGCAAUUUAUUACUUCAUUGGCUCAAAAUUCUUUUACAUUUAUUUAAAAAAUAAAUAACACUAUAAAUUAGGAUUUAAAGAUGGAAGGUUCGAAAUUUGCAGGAGCAUAGAUAUUUUAAUUUACUUAAAUUCAGAAUUGUCCAUUUAUCUUAUUUCCUCUAACAAUAGAAUUAUGAUUACAAAAAUAGGAUUUUGUAAGGAUUUUAAAGGAGUGUGAAAAGCAUUACUCUUAUUUUUUACAUCCUUUGUUCUCUUCCGGAUCUUUUUCUAGGUUGCCGAUGCUAAUAAAUUUGCACAAGGAUUUUAUCGAUAGGCUAUGUUUUUGGAUAUUUGCGCUUGGGCAUUCUUAUAUAUAUUUGCCCUUGGGCAAUUUUCUAGAGACCCGAUUAUGGCUUUUUAAACCCCAACCAUUUUUGCAGAAAUUGGCUUCAGGGCAUUAUUCGCAAAAAAGUUUCUCUUCAGCUUCUUCUUUGGAGCAUUCUUAUAGGAAUAGGCCUUAGGAGUUUGUUGUAGAGAAUGACCCAAGGGUAUUUCUCGUAAAAAUUUGUCCAUAGGAAUUUUUGUAGAAACUCGUAAGGAUAGGUCAUAGAAUAUUUUGUUAAAAUGCGUGUCCUUAAGCAUUUUGUAGAAACUCGUAGAAAUUGGUGCUAGCCUCUAGGGGAUUCCUGUUAAAAUGAUAUAUACUUGGUGUUCGGUUGAAAGAAUUGUAAGGAGCGAAAGCAAUAGAAAAGAGAGAGGGGGAGAGAAAAUUAGGAAAAAAAUAAUAUGAAUUUCAAUUUCAUUAUUUGUUUUGACAUGAAAUUAUCUAAUCUUCCUUUAUUUCUUUCUCCUUCUCUCUUACCCUCUCCUUCCUUUUCUUUUCAUUUCUUCAAAUCAAACAUACCAAUAACAACAUUUCUGGGCUAGGGAUGGCAAUGGAUUGGAUCUGACCCAAGAUCCAUGUGAUCCAAAUCCAAUCGGAUUGGAUUUGGGUCAGUUUAAAAUGAAUUUGGAUCGGAUGUGGAUAUCGAUGUGCGGAUCUAAGACGGAUCUAGAGCAAGUCUGGAUCUAUCUUAAUAUCUAAAUCCAUAUCCAUAUCUUCUCAUCUUUUAAUUUUAUUUUAUUUUAAAAGUUUCUUAACAAUUGUGGAAUUAUAAUGAUAAUAAAUUUUAUUCAUAGCAUAUUAGUGGUAUUUACCAUACAUUUAAACUCUUAAAACUUAAAGGUUAGUUUUGUAAAUUUAAAUGUUAGCCAGCCCCAAAACAUGUACAUGUAAUAUUUAAAUUGCAAGCCAAGUAAUACUACCUGACAAUUUAUUUUAUUAUAUUGGCCAAAUAAUUUUUAAGGAAUAUAGUUAUUCAUAUAUUUAGUCAAAUACGGUCAUAAUAAAAAUAAUAAAGGACUGACUAUAAAUUAUAUUUAAUUUACAUGUCAUUAUCUAAUGUUGUAGGAAUGAGGGUAGGUGUGUCGUAUAUAUUAGAAUGAUGAAGGAGACAAUAGAAUAUUAUAUUGAUCUUACUCCUGCAAUUACUUUUAAAUGAUAUUUUAUUAUCUUUCUUAUUUGUUAUUUUGGUAUAAAAGUAUAAGCUACAAU